rnacentral:rRNA from 1 species
CCUACGGGAGGCAGCAGUGAGGAAUAUUGGUCAAUGGGCGGGAGCCUGAACCAGCCAAGUCGCGUGAGUGAAGACGGUCCUAUGGAUUGUAAACCUCUUUAGGCGGGGAGCAAUGCCGGGCACGCGUGCCCGGAGGGAGAGUACCCGCAGAAUAAGCAUCGGCUAACUCCGUGCCAGCAGCCGCGGUAAUACGGAGGAUGGGAGCGUUAUCCGGAUUUAUUGGGUUUAAAGGGUGCGUAGGCGGAUUUUUAAGUCAGCGGUAAAAUGUCCGGGCUCAACCCGGGCCGGCCGUUGAAACUGGGGAGCUUGAGUGGGCGGGAAGUAUGCGGAAUGCGUGGUGUAGCGGUGAAAGGCAUAGAUAUCACGCAGAACUCCGAUUGCGAAGGCAGCAUACCGGAGCCCGACUGACGCUGAGGCACGAAAGCGUGGGGAUCGAACAGGAUUAGAUACCCGGGUAGUC